rnacentral:rRNA from 1 species
GACGAACGCUGGCGGCGUGCUUAACACAUGCAAGUCGAACGGAAAGGCCACUUUCGUGGUCCUCGAGUGGCGAACGGGUGCGUAACACGUGCGUAACCUGCCCUUGCCUUCGGGAUUACUUCAGGAACCUGGGGCUAAUACCGGUUCGGAAUCCUUGCUGCAUGGUGGUGGUUGGAAAGUUUCGGAGGUUUUGGCUGGACUGGCGGGUUAUCUGCUUGUUGGUGGGGUUGUGGCUUACCGAGGCUUGUUCGGGUAGCCGCCCUGCGGGGGCGACCGGCCAUCUUGGGUCCGAGGUAAGGCCGAGACUCCUACGGGAGGGAGCAGUGGGGAAGACUGAAGGAGCGGCGGAAGGCUGAUGAAGCAAGGCCGCGUGCGGGAUGACGGCCUUCGGGUUGUAAACCGCAUUCAGCAGGGGCGAAGCAUGUGGUGACGGUACCUGCAGAAGAAGCAACGGCUAACUACGUG